rnacentral:rRNA from 3 species
UACGGAGGGAGCUAGCGUUGUUCGGAAUUACUGGGCGUAAAGCGCACGUAGGCGGCUUUUUAAGUCAGGGGUGAAAUCCCGGGGCUCAACCCCGGAACUGCCCUUGAAACUGGAGAGCUAGAAUCUUGGAGAGGCGAGUGGAAUUCCGAGUGUAGAGGUGAAAUUCGUAGAUAUUCGGAAGAACACCAGUGGCGAAGGCGACUCGCUGGACAAGUAUUGACGCUGAGGUGCGAAAGCGUGGGGAGCAAACAGG